rnacentral:sRNA from 15 species
ACUUAUCUGUGGAUACUGGUGAUAUGGAUCUUGACUUAUAUAUGUUUUAAUUUACAGAGGGUCACACGCAAUCCGCGCCAACGAAACUAUCUAUUGAACAUUAAUCCAGACAGUCGGUAUGACCAGAAUGUGUUACACAUAAGUCAGCGGAAGGAGCUAGAUAGCACUUGUAUUCAGGAAAAGUCCCGUACACGUACUGUUGAACGGCAAUCCAUAAAGGCCAAGCCGUUACAUGUAGAAAACCUGAGAGUUUUCUUCGGAUCCAAAGCGGCGGUUAAGCAUAUAAAUUUCAUGGUCGAGUGGUACCAAAUUUUGAGCGUUUGCGGGGAAAAUGGAGCUGGCAAAACAGUGUUGAUAAAAGCAAUUCUAGGCAACAUAAGUGUCUUUAAUAACCAGCCCAGCGAACAUGAAUACUGUAUUCAUACCGCCUAUAGUGCUCAGGUUGAUGAAAUAUUGGAUCCGCUGACGGUAUUAGAAUCUAUUGAAAUGGUGCUGGCAAUUCGUGGGUUAAAAAAUUCUUGGUGUACUAAAGCGUUUAAGUAUUGCAAUAGCUCUAACUGGCUAUGCUGAUUUAAUCUUGCUGGACGACCCUUUUUCCCACCUGGAUAUAAUCAGCCAAAACAAAAUUCAUCAUUUGAUAGAAGCGAUAUGCAGACAAGGCUACUCAGUGGUCUUCACUUGCUCUAAUACUCUGAACUCUCAAACCGUUCCACGCAUUGCUACAAUUAGUAACUCAAAUAUGACCGCUAUUGGUGAACGGCAGGAGCUGUUGGGAAUGAAUUUAACAUACUACGUCGUCGAAGCACAAAUCGAUAUUCAUAGGCUUUCAGAGCAUAAAUCACUAAGGGAGGGGCUCUACCGAAGAUCAAAAUUUAAUAGAAGUAAUCCUAAUGUUGACGGAACUGUCCAGACUUGGCCAACAGUAGUUCACCCUAAGUCUGAGAGAGAACACACAAUUCAUUUUAUGAUGUGCCGUAUAAUUGAAAAAAUAUUUCCACAUGCGAUUGUUAAGACAGCGAGUAUUCAGACGGCACAUGUU